UGCGCAGGCGGAAUAAUAAGUCAGUGGUGAAAGCCCACAGCUCAACUGUGGAAUUGCCAUUGAUACUGUUAUUCUUGAAUAUAGUUGAAGUUAGCGGAAUGUAUCAUGUAGCGGUGAAAUGCAUAGAUAUGAUACAGAACACCAAUUGCGAAGGCAGCUAACUAAGCUAUUAAUGACGCUCAGGCACGAAAGCGUGGGGAGCAAACAGGAUUAGAUACACUGGUAGUCC
rnacentral:rRNA from 1 species